GGUGUAAACCUCAAUGUAGAUUGAGUUUUGAAGACGAAUUGUCUUUGAGAAUUGAACUAGCUUCGAAAAUAGUGGUAAUCAUUUAGUUGUAAAAGUGUCUAGAGCCACUAGAUAGUACCUGUAAAGAAAAUUUGUCUACCAAGAAAUAGGUAGAAGGGUUAGUAGAAAACAAUUUUCUUUUUCUUUUUUUUUUUUUACAAAGCUCAACCUUCUAGAGUGAGGUGGUUGAGUACUAGUGAAAAUUAUCUUG
rnacentral:lncRNA from 1 species